AUACGUAGGGGGCGAGCGUUGUCCGGAAUGAUUGGGCGUAAAGGGCGCGUAGGCGGCCCGGUAAGUCUGGAGUGAAAGUCCUGCUUUUAAGGUGGGAAUUGCUUUGGAUACUGUCGGGCUUGAGUGCAGGAGAGGUAAGUGGAAUUCCCAGUGUAGCGGUGAAAUGCGUAGAGAUUGGGAGGAACACCAGUGGCGAAGGCGACUUACUGGACUGGAACGGACGCUGAGGCGCGAAAGUGUUGGGAGCAAACAGGAUUAGAUUCCCUGGUUGUCCACCCCGGAAACGAUGAGUAUUAGGUGUCGGGGGUUUCCCCCCUCGGUGCCGCAGUUAACGCAAUAAAUACUCCGCCUGGGGAGUACGCACGCAAGUGUGAAACUCAAAGGAAUUGACGGGG
rnacentral:rRNA from 1 species